ACAUGUAAACAUAAUAGUUAUAAUGGAAUAUUAUCACAGAUUAUACCUUUACUAUCCCUACGUAUGUUACGAAGAAGACUUCAAAAUUUAAAAUUUGAUAGUGGUAUAUUAGAUGAAGUGUAUUAUUUUUUAAAGGUAAAUAUCAAAUCGUUCGCAUGUGAAUUUGAGAGAGAAUGUGUAUUAAUAAUAAAUAAGAUGGCAAUUACACCAGUAUCACUCUAUGAUACUUCACUGAAUAAAUAUAUUGGCAAUGUUAUAAUUUUCAUGGUGGGUGGUAUUACUUCUAGAUGGAAACAAACUGUGAGGUAUUAUUUUACUGGAAAGUCUGUAAACGGUAUACUAUAUGA